UUUGUAUUUACAGGCAUGAUUAUGAUAAGUAUGUGUUUAGAAUGCAAAAGAACACACAAGGCAAGAAGGGUACCUGGGGCAACAUCAAGAAGAAAUCGGCUCGAACUGUGUUUACCACUCCAACCUCUGGAAGAACCACCACAUUUGCUUUUGAUCAAGGUGCAGUGAAUGACUCCGUUAUAGAGAAGCUGUUCGUAGGUGAAGCAGCAGAGCCAUCUGAUGAAGAGGAGCAAGAAGAUUCCUAUUUUUCUACUUAACCAAGUCCAUGGUUGUAAAUAGUUUAACACUUACUGAAACUUUUACUGAAUUAAAGGGCAAAAUAUUCCAAGGGACUUCAGCCAGCCCUUUCAGCUUGGUUAUCACACACUUAAUUUUGGCCUGUAGUGUUUUAAGGUGUCCAAUUAUGUUCGAGUCUUGUUUCAUUCAUACCUAUUGAUGCAAUUAAUAAUACUUGAUCUUCUGUGUAAAUUGAAACCGUCUGUCCCAGUUCAGGGUGUACCUCUCACUUCACUUCCUCUUAUGGGGAGAAUCUAUAAAAUACCAA
rnacentral:lncRNA from 1 species